AAUUCAUUCAAGGGCAUGUAGGAAGUCCUGGGACGAGUUUUGGAGGGGACAGGCUUGAGGUUAUCUUUGGAUAAACCUCACCCCCACCCCCCCACCCCCACCAACAUGCUACGGACCAUAUCUUCAUUACUGUCUUUAAUGGUGUUUAACUUCGCUCCAGUUGAAUCAGAAGCUUUAGGAGGGCAAAGAGUGUGCCUUGUAUUCCUCACAUAGCAAGGGUACAAUAAAUGUUUGUCUACGUUUGAUUUGCCUCCUUUCAGAAAGAUAAAAGCCACACGUCAAGCAAGAUCAGCCAACUAUGGGAGCAGCCCUUCUCUUUCGUGACCUUGGGCGUUGAUCUCGGGAUGACCCCUUACUGGCUGCAGUAACAAAGUCCCAAAAAGUGUGUGGCUGGAAACAACAGAAAUGUGUUGAAGUCUGGAGAUUAGAAGUCUGAAAUCACAAAGUGAGUGGGGCCACCCCCCUCCCACCUCUAGAAGAGGAUCCUUCUUUACCUUUUCUGGAUUCUGGUGUCUGUCAGUGAUCUUUGGCAUCCCCCUAUAGACAUGUCACUCCCAGUACACGGCCUUCUUCUUUCUGUGUGUCUGCCUCUGGUAUCCAAACUCCCCAUUCUUAUAAGGACCCUGAUCCUAUUUGAUUUGUUAUUCCUCAUAAUUAAUUAGCCCUGUAAAGAUCCUAUUUCCAUUAAGGUCAUAUUCAGAGGUAUGGGGAGGGGGGUGGCAGUGGUGGUGGCUAGACAUUCAGCACAUCUUUUUGGGGGCAACAAAUUUCAACCCAUAGCACCGGACCUGAGUGAAGAAUUGCGGCAUUAUAUUGGCUGUACGAACACAGGUAGUGGCCACGGAAGCUGCCCCCAGGAAGUGGGUGCUGGGCAGAAGGGGAGGGUGGAAAGGAGGAAUUUUCCAGGCCCACUUUGGCUCACAGAACAUUUUCAGGGGAACAUGGAGAUGCUCAUGGGAGCUGAGGAGUGGCAGCUUGUUUAAAACCUUAUGGUCUCACCAUGCUUCACCCCUUCCAUAAUAAAGAAGGCUU